CUCGCCCUUGGAAGGAGUGUUUAAUAUUUCAAUACAAUUGGUGGCUACAGUUUUAUCAUAUUUCUUUUUUAACAUUCAGGUUAAAAAAUUUGGUCUGAAGAAUUAAUCAUUCUGCAAGUGGUCCACAACGAAGAUAUAAUGGUGCAGAGGAUUUAGCAGUCACAGUGCUAACCUCCCCAAGGCUGAGAGAGACCAGGUCGAGAGUAGCUUAUACUUCGACGGUCAGUUACAGAUCAGUUUCAACGCUCAUAUAUUUAUUAUAUAUCCACUCAAUAAACUUGUAACUGUCAGUGCCUUUGUUGGGAUUCUGCCCCACAUUUUGGAGCUGCCAGUGUUACAGUACAUUAUGAAGUAUGAAGUAUGACCAGUUUAUUGUGGACAGAAACUCCGACGCCUGAAAGAAACUAUACAACACCUGUCUGAGGGUGUCUCAAAAAUGCACAGUAGCAAAGAAGAAUCCAGUGAAAUGGAAGGAACACCUGCAACGGAUGAUGGCUGGAAUGAGAGCGAAGUCGUAGAGAUUACAUCACAUUUACAAGAUGGCAGAUUGGUUGAACUUAGCAAAUCCUUUCUCAUAAAGAUAAAAAACUGUUCCGACCUUACGAGCAUGGGUGGUUUCGGUAAAAUCUAUACUUCUCGCGUUCCUAUUCCUGGAUUCAAACACAGACUUGUCCUUAAGGCAAUUGGAGGUGAUGAUGAGAACUCAAAAUCUCAGACUCAACUUUUAGGUUCCGUUAAAAAUGAGAAGCUUGCAUCACGCGUGAGACAUUUUGCUAUCGUUCCACUGCUGGCAUACCAGGAUGAUCUUUCGUUAAGGUAAGAUUAUGCAAUAGAAACGGAAAAGCUUUGUUCAAAGAUGAGAACGACACUCAAUUGUACUUCUAACGCAACAGUUAUAAUUUGUAAUCAUGUCUUUCUUAUUUAUUAUGCCCCCCUUCGAAGAGGGGGUAUAUUGCUUUGCUCAUGUCGGUCGGUCGGUCCGUCCGUCCGUCCACCAGGUGGUUGUCAUACGAUAACUCAAGAACGCUUGGGCCUAGGAUCAUGAAACUUCAUAGGUACAUUGCUCAUGACUCGCAGAUGACCCCUAUUGAUUUUGAGGUCACUAGGUCAAAGGUCAAGGUCACGGUGACUCGAAAUAGUAAAAUGGUUUUUGAAUGAUAACUCAAGAAUGCAUACGCGGCCAACAGGGCACACUCUGAACAAUAUUACUGAAGCAACUGGUCUGUAAUCUUAAAUAUAUAAUUAUCAGUCCAAUUAAACAUUAUCCUUUUAGUAAAAUACAGUGGAUCAGUAAAAAUAUUAUCAGAAUAUGAGAUUUUUUGUAUAUUUUGUAUAUUAAAUAUUGUGUUAAUGUUUAAUUUUGUUGAUUAAUAUAAAUAUAAGCAGGACAGGGGAGGUAAUACACUAUUAUAUCUUUGUUAUA